AUUGAACGCUGGCGGCAUGCCUUACACAUGCAAGUCGAACGGUAACGCGGGGCAACCUGGCGACGAGUGGCGAACGGGUGAGUAAUGUAUCGGAACGUGCCCAGUUGUGGGGGAUAACUGCUCGAAAGAGCAGCUAAUACCGCAUACGACCUGAGGGUGAAAGCGGGGGAUCGCAAGACCUCGCGCAAUUGGAGGGGCCGAUGUCAGCUGAGGUAGUUGGGGGGGUAAAGGCUCACCAAGCCAACAAUCUGUAGCUGGUCUGAGAGGACGACCAGCCACACAGGAACUGAGACACGGCCCAGACUCCUACGGUAGGCAGCAGACGGGAAUUUUGGACAAUGGACGCAGGUCUGAUCCAGCCAUGCCGCGUGCGGGAAGAAGGCCUUCAGGUUGUAAACCGCUUUUGUCAGGGAAGAAACGCUCUGGGUUAAUACCUCGGGGUAAUGACGGUACCUAAAGAAUAAGCACCGGCUAACUACGUGCCAGCCGCCGCAGUAACAC
rnacentral:rRNA from 1 species